GACGAACGCUGGCGGCGUGGAUUAGGCAUGCAAGUCGAACGGUAUCAUCCUUUCGGGGGUGAGAGAGUGGCGAACUGGUGAGUAACACGUAGGUUAUCUACCCUCAAGACGGGGACAACCCAGGGGAAACUUGGGCUAAUACCGGAUGUGAGCAACUUUUAGUUGUUUGAAAGGUGGCGUAAGCUGUCGCUUGGGGAUGAGCCUGCGUCCUAUUAGUUAGUUGGUGAGGUAACGGCUCACCUAGGCAAUGAUAGGUAGGCGGCCUUAACGGGUGGUCGCCCACACUGGGAUUGAGAUACGGCCCAGACUCCUACGGGAGGCAGCAGUCGAGAAUAGUCUACAAUGGUCGGAAGACUGAUAGUGCGACGCCGCGUGAACGAUGAAUCCCUUCGGGGUGUAAAGUUCUUUUAUAUGUGAGCAGUGCUUUCUUAUAUUAACAGUAUGGGGAAGAGAUAUUAGCAUAUGAAUAAGCAACGGCUAACUCCGUGCCAGCAGCCGCGGUAA
rnacentral:rRNA from 1 species